GAUGAACGCUAGCGGCAGGCCUAAUACAUGCAAGUCGAACGGUGGUAGCAAUACCAUAGUGGCGCACGGGUGCGUAACGCGUAACCAACCUACCCGAAUCUGGGGGAUAGCCCGCCGAAAGGCGGAUUAAUACCGCAUAAAACCACAGUGUGGCAUCACAUAAUGGUUAAAGAUUUAUUGGAUUCGGAUGGGGUUGCGUGCCAUUAGCUAGGUUGGGGG
rnacentral:rRNA from 1 species